rnacentral:rRNA from 1 species
AAAACUUUCAACAACGGAUCUCUAGGCUCUUGCAUCGAUGAAGAACGCAGUGAAAUGCGAUAAGUAAUGUGAAUUGCAGAAUCUCGUGAACCAUCGAAUCUUUGAACGCACAUUGCGCCCUAUGGUAUUCCGUAGGGCAUGCCUGUCUGAGCGUCAGC